CCGGGGGCGGGGAGAGGGGCGGGGCUUUCCGCCGAAAGGGGGCGGGGCGCGCGGAGGAGGCGGGGCGAGCGCAGGGGAGGCUGGCGAGCAGAGAGUGCCCUUGUGUCGCCAGCCGGCGAGCGGCUGGGAGCGAGCAGCCGCCCCGCGCCGCCAGCGGGACGGGACGGGACAGCACGGCACGGGACAGCACGGCGCGGGGCGGGACAGGCCGGGCCGCAGGGACAGCCGGACCGACCCGCCGGUAGGGGCGAGGGGAGCCAGCGGGGGCAGCCGGCACCGCUCGGUGGAGGGAAGCAGCCCGGCGGCGGCAGAGCCGGCGGGGAGAGCUGCUCCCCCCACUUCCCUCCCCAAUCCACCCCCGCGACCCCGGCCCUCCUCCUCCUCCUCCUCCUCACCCCACUGGAUACAGCGAGGGAGACACUGCGGCGGCGGAGGCGGCGGCGGCGGCUCCUGCGGGGGGAAGGAAGCGCCCGGAGAGCGGAGCGGCGGGAGGCUGCGGAUCUGCGUGCCUGGCGCCCACCCAGCCCGAGGGGAGCCCCCAGGAUGCGGCUCAAGCCCGGCGCGCUCCUGCGCUUCUACAGCCUCUGCGGGAUCCUCAUGCAAGAUGUAUGUGCAUAGAAAGAGCUCAGCGAGUACUCGCCGAGAACAGUGGGAUGUUUCUAGUGAACAUGGACAGCACCUGCCUGUUGUGUUGUCUAGUCCUUCAGAUGUCCAUUUAUAAAACUGGGUUUCAGCAUUGAUGCUUGUGUUUAUCUGAAAUUACAUUUCACAAACGGUUCCCAAACAAAAAUAAAAACCACUUUGCUUUUGAAAGCUUCCUUGGG
rnacentral:lncRNA from 1 species